rnacentral:rRNA from 1 species
GACAGAGGGGGCAAGCGUUGCUCGGAAUCACUGGGCGUAAAGGCGCGUAGGCGGGUCCGCAAGUCGAUCGUGAAAUCCUUCGGCUCAACUGAAGGGGGGUCGGUCGAUACUGCGGGUGCGUUGAGGGAGUGCAGAGGAGACUGGAAUUCCCGGUGUAGCGGUGAAAUGCGCAGAUAUCAGGAGGAACACCCGUGGCUAAGGCGGCUCUCUAGUACGGUACUGACGCUGAGACGCGAAAGCGUGGGGAGCGAACAGG